AACAGGAUUAGAUACCCUGGUAGUCCACGCCCUAAACGAUGCCAACUAGGUGUUGGGGAAGGAGACUUCCUUAGUACCGUAGCUAACGCGUGAAGUUGGCCGCCUGGGGAGUACGGUCGCAAGAUUAAAACUCAAAGGAAUUGACGGGGACCCGCACAAGCGGUGGAUGAUGUGGAUUAAUUCGAUGCAACGCGAAAAACCUUACCUACCCUUGACAUGCCAGGAACCCUGCUGAGAGGUGGGGGUGCUCGAAAGAGAGCCUGGACACAGGUGCUGCAUGGCUGUCGUCAGCUCGUGUCGUGAGAUGUUGGGUUAAGUCCCGCAACGAGCGCAACCCUUGUCAUUAGUUGCCAUCAUUUAGUUGGGCACUCUAAUGAGACUGCCGGUGACAAACCGGAGGAAGGUGGGGAUGACGUCAAGUCCUCAUGGCCCUUAUGGGUAGGGCUUCACACGUCAUACAAUGGUCGGUACAGAGGGUUGCCAAGCCGCGAGGUGGAGCCAAUCCCAGAAAGCCGAUCGUAGUCCGGAUCGGAGUCUGCAACUCGACUCCGUGAAGUCGGAAUCGCUAGUAAUCGUGGAUCAGCAUGCCACGGUGAAUACGUUCCCGGGUCUUGUACACACCGCCCGUCACACCAUGGGAGUGGGUUUCACCAGAAGUAGGUAGCCUAACCGCAAGGGGGGCGCUUACCACGGUGGGAUUCAUGACUGGGGUGAAGUCGUAACAAGGUAGAUCGG
rnacentral:rRNA from 1 species